AUGCCGGAGGGGGUUAAUUCUACAUCCAUUGUGCUCGUACCUAAAAUCUCGAACCCGACCAAGAUUUCGGACUAUAGACCUAUAAGCCUUUGUAACGUUAUAUAUAAGGUUAUCUCAAAGUGUUUGGGUAAUAGGUUGAGACCUCUCUUGGACGAUCUUAUUUCUCCGGAACAAAGCGCCUUUAUUCCAGGAAGAUUGAUCACGGAUAAUGCACUUGUGGCAUUCGAGUGCAUCCACCACAUCAAACAGGAGAAGGAUCUGACAAAGAGCUUUUGUGCGUAUAAGUUGGAUCUGUCAAAGGCUUAUGAUAGGGUUGAUUGGGUCUUCUUGAGGCAAGUGAUGCAAAAGUUGGGUUUCUCUCAGCGAUGGGUUGACUGGAUUAUGGCUUGUGUCACGUCGGUGAGAUACUCGGUGAAUUUCAAUGGAACUCUCUUGGAUUCGUUUGCGCCGUCGCGUGGGCUUCGGCAAGGAGACCCCUUAUCACCAUUCUUAUUUUUGUUUGUGGCAGAUGGACUUUCAGCUCUACUAAGGAAGAAUGUGGAUUCAAGAGAUAUUACUCCAGUGAGAGUGUGUAGAGGUGCCCCGGGUAUAUCACACUUGCUAUUCGCAGAUGAUACACUUUUGUUUUUUGAGGCUUCUAAAAUCCAGGCAGUGAAGGUUAAAGCAAUUUUGGAUGCAUAUGGUGCUGCUACAGGACAAAGCCUU
rnacentral:rRNA from 1 species